UGUAGGAGCGAGCUUGCUCGCGAUGGUGUGUCAGUCGACAUCAAUGCUGCUGAUUCUCCAUCGCGAGCAAGCUCGCUCCUACA
rnacentral:misc_RNA from 1 species